rnacentral:rRNA from 1 species
UGCCCAUCAGCUAGCCCCCCCCACGAAAACUAACACACCCCUAUCAAUACCCCCUAAUACCCUGACGUAUAACCAAACAAAUCAUUUUUCCCCCUAAGUAUGGGCGACAGAAAAG